CCUACGGGGUGCAGCAGUGAGGAAUAUUGGUCAAUGGGCGCGAGCCUGAACCAGCCAUGCCGCGUGCAGGAAGACGGCUCUAUGAGUUGUAAACUGCUUUUGUACAAGGAUAAACCUAAAUACGUGUAUUCUGCUGAAAGUACUUUACGAAUAAGGAUCGGCUAACUCCGUGCCAGCAGCCGCGGUAAUACGGAGGAUCCAAGCGUUAUCCGGAUUUAUUGGGUUUAAAGGGUGCGUAGGCGGAUUGAUAAGUUAGAGGUGAAAUGUUCGAGCUUAACCCGGGAACUGCAUUUAAUACUGUUGAUCUAGAGAGUAGAUGCGGUAGGCGGAAUGUAUGGUGUAGCGGUGAAAUGCUUAGAGAUCAUACAGAACACCGAUUGCGAAGGCAGCUUACCAAUCUAUAUCUGACGUUGAGGCACGAAAGCGUGGGGAGCAAACAGGAUUAGAUACCCUAGUAGUC
rnacentral:rRNA from 1 species